GGCAUCAGCCAACAAGUUCCAUAACCAGAACAGCUGUAGUGAUUGUGGCCUAGCUAAUAGCUAGUAAAAAAUGAGUAGGAGCUGGCGAAUUGCUGCUUCAACCAAACCAUAUUCCCCUGAACAAAUUGAGUCUUACAAUAACUUUUUUACAUAUACUUUUAAUUUGAGUUUUGCUUAGUUGCUUUCGUUUACCUCAUGACAGGUGAUGCUGAGACGGUUUUGUCCUCGUAAGACUACUCUACUGUUUGUUAUACGAGAUAAAACAAGGUCACAAUUGAAUGAGGCUAUUUUAAGAGAGGAUUAUGGAGAAGCUGCAAAGCUGAAGUUGGCCAUAACUGGUGCUACAAAAAGGAUAUUGUUGGAGCAGCAUUGACUAUUAUGAAUAGAGCUAUAGAGGAAGAGCGAUACAUCGAUGCAACUUUCAUUCGUGAUCAUGUUGGGGCAGGACUGCUACAUGAAGCUAUUCACUCCAUUGAGCUUUAUUCAUUUUGCUAUAUGCAAGGCUAUAACAGUGGUUGCCAAUUCUUAUAUAUUGAUUGAAAAAAAUUCUUCAAAUGUUGAACGCAUACAGAAACUUAAAGCAAUGUUCAGAAAGGGUGCAUGCGACUUAAAUACUGAUGAAAAAGGUAGUUGCUCAGUAUACUGCUUUGUGGUUUUUAUGCAAACUGCACAUCCUCAAGCUUUGAGAUCUUACUAGAGUGUUGCUGCUGUAAUGUUGAGACAUAAGAAAAGGGAGAAAGCUGGGUUUGCAAGCUAAGUCUAUGAAAUUCUGUAUGCAGAAAACGGACCAGUACGUGAAGA